AACGAACGCUGGCGGCAGGCCUAACACAUGCAAGUCGAACGCCCUAGCAAUAGGGAGUGGCAGACGGGUGAGUAACGCGUGGGAACGUGCCCUUCGGUUCGGAAUAACUCAGGGAAACUUGAGCUAAUACCGGAUACGUGCGAGAGCAGAAAGAUUUAUCGCCGAAGGAUCGGCCCGCGUCCGAUUAGCUAGUUGGUGAGGUAAUGGCUCACCAAGGCGACGAUCGGUAGCUGGUCUGAGAGGAUGAUCAGCCACACUGGGACUGAGACACGGCCCAGACUCCUACGGGAGGAAGCAGUGGGGAAUAUUGGACAAUGGGCGCAAGCCUGAUCCAGCCAUGCCGCGUGAGUGAUGAAGGCCCUAGGGUUGUAAAGCUCUUUCGCCAGGGACGAUAAUGACGGUACCUGGAUAAGAAGCCCCGGCUAACUUCGUGCCAGCAGCCGCAGUAA
rnacentral:rRNA from 1 species